ACGACUGCAACCCUGUGGGGACAGGGGCCGUGCUAUUGGCCGACGUCCUGCCUGGCCUGGGGGUGAAGCUGCUGAUGCCUCUUAUUGGGCCUUACCUGCCCCACAGGUGGUGCGUGGUGGGCGUGGCCUUGAGCCUGUGGGGCAGCGUCAGCGCCG